CGAACGUAUGGCGGCGCCGAUCGAAGGACCAGUGCGCGCAACAUCCUGUUCGCAACAUCAACGCACCGACGAGUGCUGGGCAGGUGCAACCACCUGCUUCCUCAUCGACUUCGAACAUCCUGGAUCCGGAAGGAAUUUCAUAGAAACGCCAGAAGCAUACACGAAGACAACCUUGGAUGCAGUUGUUCGAUAUUGAAAAAGAGAAACGGGAUGAACGUAACAAUUUCGAUUGUGUUUCACCUUUGACGCGGAACGAAAAGUCAGACCACGAAAAAGUGGUUGCCCGUGGAAACUUCUUCGCUCUGGUGGUUAUAGAAACUUUUCCACGGACAGUGAGCGGUCGUAACGCGUACCAGCCUGAAGAUUCUUGUUCUAUUUUCGGGAAAAGGAUGGCGUGAAACCUCGACUAACAGUCCGGCGAGCUUUCUUCUUCCCGGUGUUCUUGGACCGUCUGUGAAAUUCGCUCGUCUUUGACGAGAGAAAAGAGGCAAACAACGGGGAUGGAUGUUCUAUUCGAGCUUCGACUCGAACGUACUUUGUCGAUUCGCUUGUGGGUCGUGAAGAUCAUUUAAGAACCUCUCGGUAUUGUGAACCGACUCUUUUAUGUCUCCUAAUAUCCAGUUCUCGAUAUGUACAUACGUGUACUUUUUAAUGAUGCGUGUGAUAACCGUUUUCCGUACAGUGUCAUCGAACUCCUUCGUUAAGAUCAAAGUGUGAAAAAGCAGUGUGAAAGCGGAGCAAGGUAUUACCGAUCGUUCGUUUCGUUCGUCGUCGAUUUGAAAGAUUGCACCCGGGAAUCUCGGAGUCCCUGGCUGCCUAAGAGGAUUUUCAAAGGUGGAAGAAGCUUCUAGCGAAGAGGCUCGUUUCCGUGGAUCGUUGCAACGAAGACGAUCUUGCAAGAAACCGCUUGAAAGCUUGAUUAAUUGCGCUCGGUGGCAGCCCGGUGACCGGUGCACGCCAACCAUGCAUCGCUCGGGCUGCGCCGUUCGCUCCAGAAAUAGCAGGGCGAACGUCGUUUCCUGUAAAAGAGCCGAUUCUCCUUAUCUGCUUCCGCCUUGCCGAUAAGGCAUCGAGGACGAAGAUUAGAAGGAAGAGAGGAGAGGAGGAGAAGUAGGAGGUGGAGUAGGAGGAGAGAAGUUUAUCCAGUGGAACGUAAACGUAAACGACAAGUGACCGAACGAGGUUUCGCGACACAGGGGUCGAUCGGGAGAAGAACACAACAAGGGUAGUGAACGGUGGUUGCGCGGCCACGGAGGAGGGGUGGGGGGACGCGAGGGCUCGAGAAGUCGACGGCAGAGCGCACGGGUUUAGUAUUUGAUCGGUCGCGAUUCGGUUAACACAGAGAUACGCUCGGUUCUCUCGCGUAAACUCGGUCGUUCGCGAAUUGUUGUGACUCCGUGGGGUCCGUAAACACGACGUUCGUCGAUCCCCGAGUCUAUUCGUUGUUUACCCGUCCGGCCGUAAGUAGUGUAACGAAACUUGCCUGUUGUGUCACGUGAAAUCGUCAACGAUAUUUUCGUUCUGUUUCGUUCGCGAUGCUACUCGGUUUUCAUAUCAACGUCGCGAGUGAAACACGUGAAUAAUAACAGCUGUCCAGUUAUCGUUGCGAGCCAUCACGAUUUCGAUGAUCUGCCUCGGAUCGUUUCCCGCCAGACGAAGGGAAGAGAGACGAACCACCAGCGUGAGAUCGAAUUUUGCGAGGGACAAGGGAAAAGGGACGAACGCACGAUUAUCAAAACGAUAUUGUAUCCGUUAUCAACGUGGAUCGAAUUAGAUUAGAAUCGACGACGGGCCAUCCGCAACAGGCCGGGCCAAAGUCGUGAACAUCAUGGAUUGGUGGCUGCGGGGAUGGAUUGUCUACAUCUACUUGUUACGGAUCGUCCUCAGGACAGCAGCUAACAGCGGAUUUUUCGAUUCCAUGAUGGGAGAGAUGGUGGUCGAGGCUGGCAAGAACGUGACGCUGAAUUGUCCGGGAGUGACGGAGGAUUCGUUGAUAUUGAUGCUGGAAUGGCGGGCGGACGGUAUGCGAUUGUUGGAGUACGGCAGCAACACGACCACCGUGUGGAAUCACCAGAACAGGGUGUCGUUGUCGUUGAAAAACUACGCGCUACAGUUUCAUCCUGUGACCGCGCAGGACAGCGCCGAGUACACUUGUUUGGUGAACAGCCGCAGCACACCGGAAGCCGUAAUCAAGCUGAUGGUUCAAGAUGUUCCUGAUCCACCGGAAAGGCCUCUCUUAACAAACCUUACAUCGAGGUCCGUGAAUUUAUCCUGGGCACCGAGCGCUAAUUCUCAUAACAAUCCGAUCUCGCACUACGUCAUCGAAACUCGGAUCAAAGAAGAGGGGCCUUGGAACGCAACAGAGGAAAUCGUAACGCCUAACAACGAUACAUACUACACGAUCGAGAAUCUGCGCCCGUUCACCGUCUACAGUUUCCGUGUGUCAGCAGUGAACGCGAUGGGACGAAGCAAACCCAGCAAGCAGUCCUACUACAUCUUCACUCUACGCGAACCGCCGAAAGGAAAGCCAAUAAUUACCAGCGCUUACAACACUUCAGCAUCGUCCAUUUAUUUGGCAUGGAAGGCGCCCAGUCCAGACACCAUUCAAGGCGAAUUUCUGGGUUAUCGAAUCCGUUAUAAGCCUCGAGUAAAACCCCACAUGGAAGAAAAGCACAUAUACAUACGUAAUCCGGCCGUUGAAAAUCACAAGAUACAUAAUUUAGAAACGUACACACAGUAUUUAGUCUCGCUGGAAGUGUUCAAUCCGGCUGGACAUGGUCCCGCGACGACAGUUUCUGUAAUGACCGACGAAGGAGUACCAACAAAACCAUUGAAUCUCUCGUCUCAUGGCAUCACCUCCACCACCAUUGAACUGUCAUGGGCCGAACCGGAGAGCGCCAAUGGAAUCAUUUCCGGUUAUCGUAUUUACUACAUGCAUUCCAAUUACACCGACGUUCAGAUGUAUAAAACCGAUGAAGACGAUGGGUCGAUCAUCGAAUUCGUUUUAAACGAAUUGGAACCAUAUACAGAAUACAAAAUAUGGGUGAAAGCGUACACCUGGAAAAACGAGGGUGAACCGUCUGAUCACAUAAUUCGUCGGACAGAUAUCGCAGGACCCAGUCCUCCAUUGAUUUUAAACGUGACAUGUCCGACCCACGACUCGGUCUACAUCCAAUGGGCCAGGCCGAACAUCUUCUGGGGCUCCAUUGACUACUAUUUCAUCAAUUACCGAAUCGAAAGCGGAAAACGUUACGAGGAAAUCGAAGUGAUCGCAGAGAAAAAUCAUCUGGAGAGCGCUACGAUUAUACCGAACCUAACGAUGAACAGCGUGUACGAGAUCGUGGUACGUGGAGGCACGCGGAGCGCAAUCGACAAUCGACUGAUCAUACACGGAGAAGGUUCCAUUCCACGGAAAGUGCGGGUCGUUCAGGAUUGCGACAGGACACCACCGUUAUUACCACACAGCACCAGAGAGCUUAGCAGCGGCGUAAUCGCUGGGAUGAUCUGCGCCUGUGUGGCAGUGAUGCUGAUGAUCACGUCCUUCAUCUUAUGGAAGCCUUGCCUGAGGCCAAUUUUCAGGAAAUGCUUCCACACGGCGUACUACUUCCUCGACUAUCCGCCACGCAACGUGCCGACUCUUCAGGAAUGGGAGAACAGCGAACAGGACGGAGAACGGACAGCGGUGGCUAUUCAAAAGUUCGUUCAACACGUCGCAAGUUUGCACGCUGACGGGGACAUCGGAUUCAGCAAGGAGUACGAGUUUAUCCAGUCGGAGAGUGGCAAAUUCACAGCGGAGAAUUCUCAAUACGUCGAGAACAAAACGAAGAAUCGAUAUAUGAACAUAUUGGCCUACGAUCAUACUCGAGUGCAGCUGUUAUCAUGUGGUGGAGGACCGCCGAAAAAGGGUCACGAUUACGUAAACGCGAAUUACAUCGAUGGUUGGCAACGUACACGGGCGUAUAUCGGUACACAGGGUCCAUUGCCGCCGACUUUCGAUGGAUUCUGGCGCAUGGUUUGGGAGCAAAAGGUGUCAAUCGUCGUGAUGAUCACCAACCUAGUAGAACGUGGCCGUAAAAAGUGUGAUAUGUACUGGCCUAAGACAGGAUCUGAGACGUACGGCUAUAUUCAAGUGACUUUGUUAAGGGAGGAUGUUAUGGCAACAUACACCAUUCGCACCCUUCAAAUUCGCCACCUAAAGGUCAAGAAGCGUAAGAACGGAAUCAACAUGGGUGAACGUAUUAUUUGGCAGUAUCAUUACACCGGAUGGCCAGAUCAUGGAGUUCCGGAACAUCCUCUACCAGUUUUGAGCUUCAUUCGAAAAUCUUCCAAUGCCAAUCCACCGGAUGCGGGACCCAUCGUUGUUCAUUGCAGCGCUGGUGUCGGACGCACUGGUACCUACAUCGUCAUCGAUGCCAUGUUGAAGCAGGCCAAGUGCAAAAACGAAGUGAAUGUGUUUGGAUUUUUGAAACACAUUCGCACGCAACGAAAUUUCUUGGUACAAACCGAAGAACAAUACGUGUUCAUUCAUCACGCCUUACAAGAGGCCAUCGAAAGCGGCGAAACCAAUAUCGAAGCGAACAACUUGCUGGAAUACGUACAAAACAUGCUAAAUCCUAACAACACCAAUACCGAUGCGUGGAACAAUCUUGAAGCACAAUACAAGUUGGUGACAUCGUGGAAACCGAAAGAGUUUAAUCUGGUGUCUGCGAUCAAGCCGUACAACAUCCAUAAGAAUCGCAAUCAAGACGUGAUUUCAAUCGAAACUGCUCGCGUUCACUUAACACCGAAGCCUGGAACCGAUGGAAGCGACUAUAUCAACGCCACAUGGAUUGCUGGUUUCCAUUGCAAUCGUGAAUUCAUCAUCACCCAACACCCCAUGGAAAAUACCAUUAUGGAAUUCUGGCAGAUGAUGUGGGAUUACAACGCUCAGACCGUAGUUAUGUUAACAGAAUACAACGAAGAGUACCCUGAAUUUUGGCCCACCGAGGAUAAAGUCUUGGAGUCGGAAACCUUCCGCGUACGAUUCUAUGGAAUCAAAGAAACCGCCAGCGGUAUGAUCCUGCGAGAAGUUGCGGUCCGAUCUCUACAAGACGAUUACGAAUUGAGGCCUCUAAUCGUCCAAAGACCCCGAUCUCAACCCGGCUUCUGGCCACACAACACCAAUCCCAGACCAUUUGUCACCCUCAUCCAUGAUUUGCAUCGGGACUAUCAAAAUGGUCCUAUCGUGGUGGUGGACAGGUACGGUGGCGUCGAGGCAGCAAUUUUCGUCCUCCUUACAACGCUGAACAAGCAACUUGACUUCGAGAAGACUGCUGAUAUUUAUAUGUUCUCAAAGUUGCUGUACAUGAAGAGACCUGGAGUUUUUCGAUCAAAGGAGGAUUACGCGUUGCUGUACCAAUGUCUGGAGACCACGCUCUCGUCGAAAGGUCACGAUGAACCAGAUCUAUAUUCGAUGGCCAAUGGUCACGUGUCGACGAUAACAGAUCCAACCGAUGUACCGACUUCAUCGAUGCAACACAUGCAGGUGGAUUAUUCUCCGAAACCGACGAUGAUCAGGGAAUACGCGACCGUGGAGGUGAACUCCAUGUCUGAUUAUUCCAUUCCAAUCCGGGUGGAUCACACGAUGGAGCCAUGCAGUAGCAGAAGCAGCGAAAGCUGUUUGUUCAGUCACGCUGGGAACGAACACGAGAAGAAUAUCGUAAUGACCCAUCGUAACGUCAGCUAUCACAAUCAUCCGGGCAGCGUUUCUGUGAUCGUUGAUGCGAAUGGAUACGUAACGAACGGCAACAUGCGCGUGCCACCAGAAGGUAUGGAGACGAGCUGCAAGAUGUUGCCUCAAUGAUGCCUGCCGAUCUUCGGUUGCAGUGUUUCCUCGAGCCGGUCCGAGCCGCUGUAACCGAUCGAGCUCCUCACUGCCCGAAGUGUAAUCCUGAUUCUGCCCAAGCGCAGGGAGUUCCAGAUUGGACACGUCUUCGCACAAACGGAAGGACGGCGACUCGAACCUAAGAUCAGCCUGAAAACGGCUCUCGAGCAUCUUUAGUGUAAAUAAUUAGUCGCGCAGACCUGUACGCGUACGCUCUUCUGAACGAGAGUACGCGUACAUAAGAUAGUGAAAAAAAAAAAGAAAAAGAGAAACAGAGGUCCUGUUUCCGGUGUUGCUGGGUGCCAAAAAUCCAUUCGCAAACGCACGCCAUUUCCGGACCUUCGUUCACGCUGUUCAUUGUGUAAGUGUACACCUCCUUGUUUUUUGUAUAUACACGACAUUCACGCGCCUAUGUGCACACUUACAUAAAUCUUCAACACACCUACACGAAACCUCACAUACGACUAUACAUGUAGAUGUAUGUAUACAUAUAAUACGCGUUUUAUAUAAGUUGGAUCAUUUCUUUACCAAAGAAUCGUUUAUAUUCGUUCCCGGUUCGAUUUAAGUAUUUCUUACUUUCAUUUCUAUCGUUCAGACGAAGACCGGCCGAUCGAACUCGCGCUAUCAUCGAAUAAUAAAUAUCGAUACGCUGAUGAUAAUCAACGUGUCUUCUCUUCUUCUCUUCUCGCCGCUAAGAAUAUGCGAUGUCACAGGGAAUUGAGGCUAAUAAACUGUUUUCGUGUGAUCGAACGAACGAAAUGAUCAUCCAGAUCACGUGAAAUGAUUAUAAUCGUGCUGAACCAACGAUCGUAAUCGUAAUUGGUAACCAGAUACAAGUGUAAGGUUUAAUUAAGAACCGCAAGCUAUAUUAGAGAAUUUCCCGAAGAAUUUCGGCCCAACGAAUCGUGGCACAAAGUACAGCGACGACAAUCCGAAUCGUUCGAUAAUUCAUCAUUUUCCAAUCGCAACACCGCGUGCUCGAUGAUUCCGAUGGGCUCCGAUCGGUUCUUAUCAGCAACGAUCGAACAGCUUCGAAACGACUCUGUUCGAAACCAUGUGAUCUAACCGAAUUUUUAUUGUGAUAUAUAAGAACAGGAAAAAUGAAAAGAAAAAAAAAUAGAGCAUCGUCAUCGUUUCGUCUAAUCACGAAUUCCUUAGUCGCGCGAUCAUUUCUUUUAUCAACAUUCUCGAAGACUGCUCUCAUCUAAUAAGGUUCUUAUAUAUAUAUUAAAUCGCCGAUUAAGUGAUACGAAAACGAGAACUGCCGCGAUUUUGUCGAUUUACAUCGUCUUUUCUAUCGUAUACCUUCAACGAACGUCUUCGUUUUUAAUCUUUACUGCCAAUUACGAUCGACGAUUAACAAAGAAUAGGAAAUGUUGUUAAAAAAUCUGAAAAAUCUGAAAAAAAAAUAUAUAUAUGUAUGUGUGCAUGUAUGUAACUGUGUCCUUGUUAAAAAUAAAAAAUGUGUGUAACUGUAAAUCGCGACAAGACGAUCUUAAUUCGUUAUCGGUUUUUAACUUCGAUGUCGAUGUAACAUAUUUAAAAUAAAAAGAGAAAUCAUGUUUCCUUCGGGUUGAUCAAUUGAAUAAGUACUUGUUCAAGACUAUCAUUUCCCAAAAAGAAUCCCGGAGGGACAUUGAUUUAAAAUUUAAGGGCGUGUAGGCGUAGUUAGCGUGUCGAAAAGAUAAAAAGCCAAUAUAAACGUAUUUCUUAUUAAUUUUUGGAUACGCUAACGAAACUAUGAAAUAUAACAAACGGGGCGAAGAAGAGAGAAGAGAAAGUUGACGGAAGCGUGCAGAAAAGUAAAUGGAAUUUUAAAAUAGCAGAUUCGAUUUCUCGGUCUUUGGUGUUCUCUUGACCCGAGUAUCAUUUUCGUUACACGAAUUCGAUCGAAGACAUACGUUUCCACUUUUGCCAUUGCUAUGGUCGCGAGUUACGUAUUAAAAAAAUGUCAGUCAAUGAUAACGAAGCGAACAUAACCGUCUGGAGUCUGAUGUUAGUCUCCCGACGAAUCAGAGAAACCGAGCCGAUGUCCAGCGUCGAGUGGAGUGUCCAUCAACAGCGACGAACACGAUCAACGACCAUUUAGAAUCAUUUCUAUCGGUCUUGACCAUUUUCAGAGGAAUCUAAAUCGAGCAAACGUAUGGCUCUUGAUCGUCGAAUCGUGUUACGCUCGAUGGAAUCGCAAAGAAAUGCAAGAAACUCGCGCUGGAUCGAAACAAAACGAUGUCUUCCUUCUCGUAAUCGCCAGAGAAAAAGGCAUCGCGAAAGUAGUUGUAUUCCUCUGGAUCGAUUUGACCCAGCGAAUCCCUCCCUACGAGACGAGAACGAGCUAAAAGAGAUGUCUGUAUCAUGUACAAUAUCUUAGGCGUGUAAUUAGGGAUAAUUAAAUCGCAAAUUAUUGACCCGUGCAAAGACGUGUCUGGACGCGAGAUACACACCUCUCAUACUCAUACACACGUACACGUAAUGACACUAACGUACCAACCAUAGGUUUUCAAGGAAAAUAAAUAAAAAUAAAAAUGAAGAAAAAGAAGAAGAAGAAAAAUCGACGACGAACGGCUAGGCUUUAGCGUGAUAAUUAAUAUACUACGAACGAACUGACUGUUGUUAAUGCUUAAGCGAACGGAAGAGAUAAAGAAUCACACACGACAAAACUCAUCGUAUACAUAAAGAGAGAAAAAGUAUAUAAAUAUAAAUAUAUAAAUAUAAAUGCAAAUAUAAAUAUAUAUAUAUAUAUUAUAUUCAGAUAUUUAUGAUAUGAACGACGAUUAAAAAUGUAAACCGUGUUUCAAUCUGCCAUUCGGGGUAUUGUUACGGGUGAUGCAUACACGCGCACAUAUGUAAUCACAUUUUCGUAAUGUUUCCAAGGGUGUUCCGGAGAUUUGAGCCGUGUGAUAGUAUAGCUGGACAACUCGAACGGGCACCGUCGUUCCAGUCCCUCCUUGCGACCGAAUUUCGAUGCUGAAGAAUAAAAAAAAAGUAAGAGUGGACUUUCUUUUCCCUAAAUCUGCAUACCAGCGGUACCUCGUCGAAUGGCGUUGAACACGAAUCUGUACUGUAUUUUACGAUAAGGCACCGUAAACUCUGGAUGUACCUAUUAAGUAUGUAAAAGAGGACAAACGGGAAGAGAGUGCGAGAGGGAGAGGAUGAUUAAAGAGAGUAAAAAUAAGUGUGUAAGGUGUGGGGAUGCAUGUGAAUCGAUUUCAAAAUGACAAAUCGAUCGUCGGCAUCGUUUAUACAUAUAUAAAUAUUAUACAUAAUUAAUUCGGAGGAUAACGAGAUAGGUGUGUAUAGAAGGAUAAUUUAGACUCUAGUCAGCAUAACACAAUCGUAAUCGACGACGCACACGUUUCUUUUGAUUUUUCUCUUUCUAUUGUUCGUUUGAUUCUUUGGAAAGAGCAUCGUUUUUAUUGUGACGAUUCUCAUUGUUAUUCCUCUGUACUCGAUGCGUUCGGGUUUAUCAUAGGAACGAGAGUGGCUGCGUUUACGGCUGUUCGUUUGCUCGAGAGGGAAAGGGGUGCGUUGGUUCAGCGAGGGUAACGAUUUUGGCUCGUCUUUUUCGAUAUUUAUCAUUUCUUCUCCAUUUUAUUUUAAUUUACGUUCGUGCGAACUCGCAUAUAUGUACGCUGUGACUGUGACUGCACUUUAUAUUCUAUUGUUAACCCCUUGUCUUGUAGAGUGACAGUUGAAUUUGAAGUUGAAUGCAAGAUAUGCAUAAUAUUUCAAUUUUUUUUCAUAUCUCUCAUGAAAUCAUAAGACAAGGGGUUGAAUGACGUUUAUUCAUUUAACUCGGCGACUGUGGGCGCCGGAUUAAAAGACUUCAGUUUUGCAUUUUGGACAGUUUGGCAUUCGGCGAUAAGGUCGUGAAUGAAAUCGCAAACGGAAUUUCUGGAAUCGCGCGAUGAACGGACUGCAGACGCAGCCAUCGAGAGUCUGAUCGAAGAUGUGUGUUCGAUGAUGCGAAUAAUCGAGGGCCUACACGUGGAUUCGACGAACGACAUUAUAAAACGUCAUCGCGAUCUGUAGUGCGUUUGCGAUACGAUCGAAAGCUUUAAUCGAACCGAAAUCGCACGAACGCGGACUUUUCUGUACAGUUCGGAAACGAGGAGAGAAUAGUCGAACGCUUGAUCGUACAGUCGACCAAAAACUCAGUCAUUAGAGAAUUAGCGGGACGAAAAUGGCAUCGGUGAAUCGGUUGUAUAGCGUUAGCGAGAUAUAGAUUAAACGUGCGAAGAAACCGUAAGACUGCGAGAGAGAACAAAAUCGAAAAGAAAAGAAAGCAUAGAAAAAAUAAUGAAAAAAAAAAUAUCGCCACGUCAAUACGGUGUUUUUUACAAUUAUCAUACUAUGAACCUUUCCUUUCGGCGUUCAUUUCUUUCCGCGUUGAAUGCAAUGCAAGUAUUCGCACAGGCCUACGAUAAGAGAACUGUUUAUAUACGUAUCGAUCAUGUAUUUCAUGUGUACACUAAUUAUCGCAUUAAUGAGAUCAGACAGAGACAAGCGUGCUACCCUAGAAGAGGAUACACCUGUUCUCGCCAAGACACAUCCGUGAAGCUUUCCACUCGCAUUUCGCUUCUUCAAUUGGCCUAAUUCUUCCUUCAUUCUACAGAACCUUGACAUUUCAGAUACGUUACUUCUGCUAGUAUAGCGAUAUCGUAAUGGAACUGCAAAGAAGAAAACAACGACAGCGAAUUGCCAAGUAUCCAUAAUCAACAUUGAUCCAAAUUCCUGACUUAAGAAACGCUGCGGUUGCAUUACGAUCAGCGCAUUACAACUUCUCAAUUCGAAAUAGUACAAAA